rnacentral:rRNA from 1 species
AGUGAACGCUGGCGGUAUGCCUAACACAUGCAAGUCGAACGGCAGCACAGUAAGAGCUUGCUCUUACGGGUGGCGAGUGGCGGACGGGUGAGGAAUACAUCGGAAUCUACUUUUUCGUGGGGGAUAACGUAGGGAAACUUACGCUAAUACCGCAUACGACCUACGGGUGAAAGCAGGGGAUCUUCGGACCUUGCGCGAUUGAAUGAGCCGAUGUCGGAUUAGCUAGUUGGCGGGGUAAAGGCCCACCAAGGCGACGAUCCGUAGCUGGUCUGAGAGGAUGAUCAGCCACACUGGAACUGAGACACGGUCCAGACUCCUACGGGAGGCAGCAGUAGGGAAUAUUGGGCAAUGGGCGAAAGCCUGAUGCAGCAAUACCGCGUGAGUGAAGAAGGCCUUCGGGUUGUAAAGCUCUUUUAUUGGGAAAGAAAAGAAGCAGGUUAAUACCCCGCUGUUCUGACGGUACCCAAAGAAUAAGCCACGGCUAACUUCGUG